rnacentral:hammerhead_ribozyme from 1 species
AUGUAGCUGACGAGUCCAAAAUAGGAUAAAAUUUGAAUCCUGGAU